AAAAAAUCGAGAGGUUUCUCUUCCCCGGGUUGAGUCAGCAGCGCGAGGGGGAGGCGUGCGGCGCGGCCAGCUCAGCUCUUAGUGUGGAGCGCGGGGUCAGGACCCGGAACUUUGAGCGAGAGCAGGGCAAGGGGCUGGGGUUGGGUCUGAAGCGGGCGCGGGACCUAGUGCUGGGCUGUUGGGGGUGUGUUUGGGUCACUCCUUUGUCCUGCUCCCCAAGAUGGAGAGGAGGUAAACUACUCCUUUCUCAUCGGACCUGCCGAAGCCUUCGUUGAAUCGAGCGUCUCUGCCUUGCUAACAGGCCGGGGAGGGAGUUCAUGGACAGAGUUGGCUAAAAGGAGAGUUCGAGAUCUCCAGAAUCUAAGAAAGUCAGAAAUGUGGCUUGGGUCCUGAAGCCCCCGGAGGACAGUGGGUGAUCCUCCAAUACAACGCAUCCUCAUCUUUGAGAUCCCUUGAAAGUCCAAGACUUUGGUGCAAGGUGUAGGAGAGACGGUGCCCUCUCUGUGGGUGAAGCCAGCUGCCACAUACGAGCAGCCCUAUGAAAAGCCUCACACCACAAGGAACUGCUGUCUCUGGGCAACAGCCAGCAAAGACUCCAGGCCUGGCUGACAGUUUGAUUGCACUUGUGAGAGCCUGAACCAGAAGAUCCAGCUGAGCUAAUGCACAGAAACUGCAGAAAAAAAUUGAGAUUUUUGUUCACUUGCAACAAAAAGUUCUAACAAAUUGUCUCCCACUUCAACUGAGAUUUCAUUUAUACUGGGCUCCCAGCAUGCCCUCCGCCAUUCUGCUUACUCUCAAGACUGAGCAUAAACAGAGUAGUUUGCCCAGAGGAACUUCAGUCUUCUCUUCUUUGCUCACCACGAUCUGGUGUGAUCAUGUC